UGAGGAAUAUUGGUCAAUGGGCGUAAGCCUGAACCAGCCAAGUAGCGUGAGGGAAGACUGCCCUAUGGGUUGUAAACCUCUUUUGUGCGGGGAUAAAGUGUGGGACGUGUCCCAUAUUGCAGGUACCGCACGAAUAAGGACCGGCUAAUUCCGUGCCAGCAGCCGCGGUAAUACGGAGGAUCCGAGCGUUAUCCGGAUUUAUUGGGUUUAAAGGGAGCGUAGGCGGGUGCUUAAGUCAGUUGUGAAAGUUUGCGGCUCAACCGUAAAAUUGCAGUUGAUACUGGGCGCCUUGAGUGCAGCAUAGGUAGGCGGAAUUCGUGGUGUAGCGGUGAAAUGCUUAGAUAUCACGAAGAACUCCGAUUGCGAAGGCAGCUUACUGGACUGUAACUGACGCUGAUGCUCGAAAGUGUGGGUAUCAAACAGGAUUAGAUACCCUGGUAGUCCACACAGUAAACGAUGAAUACUCGCUGUUGGCGAUAUACAGUCAGCGGCCAAGCGAAAGCAUUAAGUAUUCCACCUGGGGAGUACGCCGGCAACGGUGAAACUCAAAGGAAUUGACGGGGGCCCGCACAAGCGGAGGAACAUGUGGUUUAAUUCGAUGAUACGCGAGGAACCUUACCCGGGCUUAAAUUGCAACUGACUGAAUCGGAAACGGUUCUUUCUUCGGACAGUUGUGAAGGUGCUGCAUGGUUGUCGUCAGCUCGUGCCGUGAGGUGUCGGCUUAAGUGCCAUAACGAGCGCAACCCUUAUCUAUAGUUACUAUCAGGUCAUGCUGAGGACUCUAUGGAGACUGCCGUCGUAAGAUGUGAGGAAGGUGGGGAUGACGUCAAAUCAGCACGGCCCUUACGUCCGGGGCUACACACGUGUUACAAUGGGGGGUACAGAAGGCAGCUACCUGGCGACAGGAUGCUAAUCCCUAAAACCUCUCUCAGUUCGGAUUGGAGUCUGCAACCCGACUCCAUGAAGCUGGAUUCGCUAGUAAUCGCGCAUCAGCCACGGCGCGGUGAAUACGUUCCC
rnacentral:rRNA from 1 species